CCAGGCUUUGGGCUUUGAUUGUCCUCUUAUAAAUUCGGGAUUAAAGUGAAAUUUCCCACAGGGCUAUGCAGGAUUUGCUAGCAUUUAACUGUUUAACCUGGCUAUUUGUGAAUGAGAAUCCUGUGGUCAACUAUUCCAUAGAGAAUAUUAUGGUAAGAUCUGUCUUCUCCAAAUGUGUGAUGGUUCUCCGUUUUCCUGCUUGUUUUUGUUUUUGUUUUUGAAGAAGAGCUGAUACGCAAACACACCCUGCUAUACAGGCACUGAAGGCACUUCUGUGCCUCAAAUCUAAUAAAGCAGCCACAGAAGAGGAGACAGGAGGAGAUGGAAAAGAAACCAAGGUUUAUUUCAGCAACUAUUAAUUGUAUGUUUUAUUUUCAUCUUCCUUUUAACUAUUAUUUUGAAUCUACCGUCUUCUAUUAU